rnacentral:rRNA from 1 species
UACGAAGGGGACUAGCGUUGUUCGGAAUCACUGGGCGUAAAGCGCACGUAGGCGGAUAUGUCAGUCAGGGGUGAAAUCCCGGGGCUCAACCUCGGAACUGCCUUUGAUACAGCAUAUCUUGAGUCCGAUAGAGGUGGGUGGAAUUCCUAGUGUAGAGGUGAAAUUCGUAGAUAUUCGCAAGAACACCAGUGGCGAAGGCGGCUCACUGGCCCGAUACUGACGCUGAGGCACGAAAGCGUGGGGAGCAAACAGG